rnacentral:rRNA from 1 species
CAGGCUUAACACAUGCAAGUCGAGGGGCAGCAUGGUCUUAGCUUGCUAAGGCCGAUGGCGACCGGCGCACGGGUGAGUAACACGUAUCCAACCUGCCGUCUACUCUUGGACAGCCUUCUGAAAGGAAGAUUAAUACAAGAUGGCAUCAUGAGUCCACAUGUUCACAUGAUUAAAGGUAUUCCGGUAGACGAUGGGGAUGCGUUCCAUUAGAUAGUAGGCGGGGUAACGGCCCACCUAGUCUUCGAUGGAUAGGGGUUCUGAGAGGAAGGUCCCCCACAUUGGAACUGAGACACGGUCCAAACUCCUACGGGAGGCAGCAGUGAGGAAUAUUGGUCAAUGGGCGAGAGCCUGAACCAGCCAAGUAGCGUGAAGGAUGACUGCCCUAUGGGUUGUAAACUUCUUUUAUAAAGGAAUAAAGUCGGGUAUGCAUACCCGUUUGCAUGUACUUUAUGAAUAAGGAUCGGCUAACUCCGUGCCAGCAGCCGCGGUAAUACGGAGGAUCCGAGCGUUAUCCGGAUUUAUUGGGUUUAAAGGGAGCGUAGAUGGAUGUUUAAGUCAGUUGUGAAAGUUUGCGGCUCAACCGUAAAAUUGCAGUUGAUACUGGAUAUCUUGAGUGCAGUUGAGGCAGGCGGAAUUCGUGGUGUAGCGGUGAAAUGCUUAGAUAUCACGAAGAACUCCGAUUGCGAAGGCAGCCUGCUAAGCUGCAACUGACAUUGAGGCUCGAAAGUGUGGGUAUCAAACAGGAUUAGAUACCCUGGUAGUCCACACGGUAAACGAUGAAUACUCGCUGUUUGCGAUAUACAGCAAGCGGCCAAGCGAAAGCGUUAAGUAUUCCACCUGGGGAGUACGCCGGCAACGGUGAAACUCAAAGGAAUUGACGGGGGCCCGCACAAGCGGAGGAACAUGUGGUUUAAUUCGAUGAUACGCGAGGAACCUUACCCGGGCUUAAAUUGCAGAUGAAUUACGGUGAAAGCCGUAAGCCGCAAGGCAUCUGUGAAGGUGCUGCAUGGUUGUCGUCAGCUCGUGCCGUGAGGUGUCGGCUUAAGUGCCAUAACGAGCGCAACCCUUGUUGUCAGUUACUAACAGGUUCUGCUGAGGACUCUGACAAGACUGCCAUCGUAAGAUGUGAGGAAGGUGGGGAUGACGUCAAAUCAGCACGGCCCUUACGUCCGGGGCUACACACGUGUUACAAUGGGGGGUACAGAGGGCCGCUACCACGCGAGUGGAUGCCAAUCCCAAAAACCUCUCUCAGUUCGGACUGGAGUCUGCAACCCGACUCCACGAAGCUGGAUCCGCUAGUAAUCGCGCAUCAGCCACGGCGCGGUGAAUACGUUCCCGGGCCUUGUACACACCGCCCGUCAAGCCAUGGGAGCCGGGGGUACCUGAAGUGCGUAACCGCGAGGAGCGCCCUAGGGUAAAACUGGUGACUGGGGCUAAGUCGU